GACCUCGUAGCUCAGUUGGUAGAGCAUUGGAGUGAUAACCCAAAGGUCGUGGGUUCGAUUCCCACCAUGCCU